GAAAUGCGAUAAGUAAUGUGAAUUGCAGAAUUCAGUGAAUCAUCGAAUCUUUGAACGCACCUUGCGCUCCUUGGUAUUCCGAGGAGCAUGCCUGUUUGAGUGUCAUGAAAUUCUCAACCUCGACAUUUACUUGUCGUAGGCUUGGACUUGGAGGUUGCCGGCGAUUACGUCGGCUCUUCUUUAAAUGCAUUAGCUGGAACCGUCGCGAAAUCGGUCAAUCGGUGUGAUACUUUAUCUACGCCGUGGCUCAGUAGCGUCAUCGGAUCCGCUUCCAAUCGUCUUCGGACAACUAUUUUAAGAUCUGGCCUCAAAUCAGGUAGGACUACCCGCUGAACUUAA
rnacentral:misc_RNA from 1 species